UGGAAUUAUUUACUUCCUAUUAUUUACUUUAGGGAUUUAACUUCCUGAUUGUGAGAAUUAGGGAUUUGAUAUUCAAAUUGGGGAUUUCAUUUGCUCAGUGCGAGAUGAAGACGAAGACGAAGACGAACUGCAAUAUUGGACAAGACGAAGAGAAUCCAGCUGAUAGUUGACGCAAACUAAGUUUAGUUACUUUCGUAUCAUGUUUCGUUUUCUGUUUGGACGUAUAAAUAUCUUUUUGCUUUUACGGACAUGUGCGCCUUCGAUAAUUCAGUUUUUUGUGUUGUUCUGUGACUAUUUAUAAUGAUUUGUGGUCCCCAUUCUGCGUGUUCAACUGUUACAUUGUAGUUUAGAUACUAUGGUCCCGAUUUUUCAUUUUUGAAUUAUUUACAAGUAGUAGUGGUCCCCUGUCUAUGAGUGUUUCCUUAGUGGGGAUGUUACUUUGUUCCCUGUCCCCUGUCUGAGUCUGUGUGAGUGUUUAGUUAGUGAGAGAGUGUUCCUGUAGUGGUAGGAGUGUAAUUGAAAUAAUUUUUUCACCCCAUAAUGUACAAGUAUUAAAAGCAACUUGUUGAUAUGGAUAAGGAACAUAUUAAAGUUGUGGUCCACCAUACUGGACAUUUUGUCAGUGAUGAUAAUGGGUAGUUAAAAUU
rnacentral:lncRNA from 1 species